ACGGAGGGUGCAAGCGUUAAUCGGAAUUACUGGGCGUAAAGCGCACGCAGGCGGUUUGUUAAGUCAGAUGUGAAAUCCCAGGGCUCAACCUGGGAACUGCCAUUGAUACUGGCAAUCUUGAGUCCCGUUGAGGGGGGUAGAAUUCCAGGUGUAGCGGUGAAAUGCGUAGAGAUCUGGAGGAAUACCGAUGGCGAAGGCAGCCCCCUAGACUAUAACUGACGCUCAUGUGCGAAAGCGUGGGGAUCAAACAG
rnacentral:rRNA from 1 species